AAAAUGUAGCUUAAAUAAAGCAUUUGGCUUACAUCCAAAAGAUUUCAUAAUAUUUGACCAUUUUGA
rnacentral:tRNA from 1 species